GAGAAUAAUACUCCAUAGAUCUGGGAUGCUGGAAUGCACUCAGAUUGAAAGCUCUGGCGCCUAAGGAUGAGUCUGCGGACUAUCAGGUAGUAGUCAGGGUAAAGACCUGACUAGCCUACGACGGAUACGGGUUGUGAGAGCAAUAACCCGGAGACGAUAUCUGAGACACGAUAUCGGGCCCUACGGGGUGCAGCAGGCGCGAAAACUUCACACUGUGCGAAAGCACGAUGAGGGGAUCCCAAGUGCUUGCUCGUAAGAGUAAGCUGUUUUUUUGUCUAAAACACAGAGAGAGUAAGGGCUGGGUAAGACGGGUGCCAGCCGCCGCGGUAAUACCUGCAGCUCAAGUGGUGAUCAUUAUUAUUGGGCCUAAAACGUCCGUAGCCGGUUUAAUAAAUGCCUGGGUAAAUCGUGUAGCUUAACUAUACGAAUUCUGGGUAGACUGUUAAACUUGAGACCGGGAGAGGCUAGAGGUACUCCUGGGGUAGAGGUGAAAUUCUGUAAUCCUAGGGGGACCACCAGUGGCGAAGGCGUCUAGCUAGAACGGGUCUGACGGUGAGGGACGAAGCCCUGGGGCACAAACCGGAUUAGAUACCCGGGUAGUCCAGGGUGUAAACGCUGCUUGCUUGAUGUUAGUUGGGCUCCGAGCCCAAUUAGUGUCGGAGAGAAGUUGUUAAGCAAGCUGCCUGGGAAGUACGGUCGC
rnacentral:rRNA from 1 species